GCGGGUUUGGUAUAGUGGCUUUGUGCCUUAGCCUUCCAAGCUGAUGACAGGAGUUCGAUUCUCCUAACCCGCUCCA
rnacentral:tRNA from 1 species